GAUGAACGCUGGCGGCGUGCCUAAUACAUGCAAGUCGAGCGAACAGACGAGGAGCUUGCUCCUCUGACGUUAGCGGCGGACGGGUGAGUAACACGUGGAUAACCUACCUAUAAGACUGGGAUAACUUCGGGAAACCGGAGCUAAUACCGGAUAAUAUAUUGAACCGCAUGGUUCAAUAGUGAAAGACGGUUUUGCUGUCACUUAUAGAUGGAUCCGCGCCGCAUUAGCUAGUUGGUAAGGUAACGGCUUACCAAGGCAACGAUGCGUAGCCGACCUGAGAGGGUGAUCGGCCACACUGGAACUGAGACACGGUCCAGACUCCUACGGGAGGCAGCAGUAGGGAAUCUUCCGCAAUGGGCGAAAGCUUGACGGAGCAACGCCGCGUGAGUGAUGAAGGUCUUCGGAUCGUAAAACGCUGUUAUUAGGGAAGAACAAAUGUGUAAGUAACUAUGCACGUCUUGACGGUACCUAAACAGAAAGCCACGGCUAACUACGUG
rnacentral:rRNA from 1 species